UAUAGCAAAUACAGAGCCAUUGUUGAGGAAAUGAGAUGUGUGGCGGCCGCGAUGGUGUGGUGGCAGCGGUGGCUGUGUUGUUAGGGUAGGGUAGGGUUUUAUGUGUUUUAGGGUUUAUGGUGAGGCAUAGCUUAGUGGGAUAUGAAGAG